GGCCGUGUAGCUCAGUUGGUAGAGCGCACGACUCAUAAUCGUGUGGUCACCGGUUCAAGUCCGGUCACGGCUA
rnacentral:tRNA from 1 species